rnacentral:sRNA from 1 species
UGAUGUCGACUAACCUUUUUGCUAAA